UUAACUUUUAAUUAAAAUGGCAAAACUUGGAGGUGUAACCACAAUUUUAAAAGGAAUUUAUCAAGAUGAAUUUAAAUGGGCACUUGUCAAAUCUAUAGGAUUAUUCGCAUUAGGAAUUAGAAUUGCCCAAGAAUGUGCAGGGAUGGAACUACUGCCAACUCAGUCUUAGUGCAGAAUAGAUUAGAUUAUAGUUUUUGUUAGAGAUAAAAUAUAUAUGUAAAAUAAAUAAAAAAACUUAAAUUGUU
rnacentral:lncRNA from 1 species